rnacentral:tRNA from 2 species
GCAGCGGUAUCGAAGCGGUCAUAACGAGGCGGUCUUGAAAACCGUUUGUCCGAAAGGGCGCGAGGGUUCGAAUCCCUCCCGCUGCG